rfam:Streptomyces coelicolor A3(2) complete genome
UCGUCGACGGCGCCCGGCGCGAUGAAGUGGACGUGGGUGUCGAUUCCGCCCGCGGUGACGAUCUUGCCGUUGCCCGCGACGAUCUCCGUCUCGGGGCCGAUGACGAGGUCGGGGUGGACACCGUCCAUGGUGUCCGGGUUCCCGGCCUUGCCGAUGCCGGUGAUCCGUCCGUCGCGGAUGCCGAUGUCGGCCUUGACGAUCCCCCAGUGAUCGAUGAUCAGGGCUCCGGUGAUCACGGUGUCGGGAGCACCCUGGGCACGGGUGGUGCGCCCCUGCCCCAUGGACUCGCGCAG